ACCUAUACUAAAAGGGUUAUAUGAGGAGUAGGGAGGCUGUCCACGUCAGCCAAUUAAAUCAUCCAAUCAUAAAGUUUUAAAUCGCCACGUCAUUUUCGCUUAUGAGUGAAGCCCGAAACUGGCCCAAGCCGAGUCUAGCCUAAGCCCUAAUUUGUCUGAAGCGUAAAAAGUUCAUCUUCCGACUCUUCCACUUCGACUUCAACUAAUUUCUCUGUAACUCUGUUACGGCUUGCUCCUCUCUUCUUUAUUGUUUCGUUAUGCCUCCCUCUUCAAUCAACACCCGAGUCUUCCACUUCGUCUCCACCGUCUCGGUUGAUCUGUAAUCUUCGUCUUCACCUGAAUACUUUGAAAUCUCUUCCGUGAAUAUGAUGGUAUGUCGUUAUUUCGAGAUUCGAUUUUUAAAUAUGACAAAUGUUUGCAGGUUGUUCCACGAAUCUCCUUCGUAUACUUUGUUUUUGAUUCCUCUGUUGUAGUGAUUAUUUAAGAGUUUUGGGUUGGGAACGAAGAGCUUCCUCAUCUGUACGCGAAGAGACUUGGCGACACUGGUUAUCACAGCCACAGUGGUUCAAGCGGUGAGAGCUGGAACAGAUCCUCAGGUGACAGCACAAAAGAUUGCAACUUUGGCGAGGCAAAGAGCACAGGACAAGAACAGACAAACUCCAUUCUCUACGCAGCGCAAGAUGAUGGAUUCAGAUACUAUGGAGAUGGAGCCAAGACACACAUGUGACAACUAAAAAGACAGUAGCAUGUGACACAAAUGAACAACAAUCUGAUUCAAUCUCAGUUCCAGGUUUGCUUACGGCUCUUCCUAAGGACUACUUUAGAGUUGUGAACUCGAGAGGUUUAUAAGAUUCUUCAGUACAUUUUAAUCUUAUCUGAAAGAAGUCUAUCUCACUCUAAUGCCUAUUCUACUUUGCGGAUUGGAGCAGAAGUAACCGAUGACAUGUCUACAAUUUUCUCAGAAUACUUUUGGGUAUGCUGUAGAUUUUUGUGUUGUUUUGAAUUGGUGAUCAAGAUUAUGAAAUUGUUAUCAUUUUGGCUUAUCAUUGGGAGCAACAUGUAUCUGGGAUAUCACCAAGCCACUGGUUGAUGAAGUCUGCAAAACACUCUAACGUUGGCGAUAUUCUUCCUCUGCACUCAAGUCGCUUCAGGAGAUAUUAUACUGUCUAUUCGAUCAAAGAAUAUAUUCGGACGUUGAUGUGGACUUUCGCCAGCUAAUCAGGAGUCUUCAUCCAAAGGUGAUGUUAGGGCUGCCAGUGGUGGAAGGAACAAACCAUGCUUCAUGUUUCCCACGUGCUGUAAUUGGCUCUGAAGCAACGUGUUACAGCCGUUUAUGGAGUGAGGUGUUUGCUGCUGAUAUAUUUGCUUCACAGUUUGGAGAUGGGCAUCCGAAUCUGUAUAUGGGCUUGCAGUUCCGAGACAAAGUGUUGGACCAGGGAGGAGGCAAUAAAGCCAUGGAACUUCUCACCAGUUUUCUUGGAAGGGAACCAUCAACACAAGCUUACAUCGAGAGCUGACAAAGUAUGGUUUGUGAUAUCUGUGCAUUUAACAGUAGGAUGUUCUGUAAUGAAUCUGGUGAAAAUUGAAAAAUGCUAUUUUGCGAAGCUGAACAACUUUUUGUUGUGGUCGGUAACAUCCGUUUAUUGAGUAUUUGUUAAUGAA